rnacentral:rRNA from 1 species
GGGGAAAUAGGCACAGGGAUUGCCUCAGUAACGGCGAGUGAAGCGGCAACAGCUCAAAUUUGAAAUCUGGCCCUAGGCCCGAGUUGUAAUUUGCAGAGGAUGCUUUUGGUGAGGUGCCUUCCAAGUUCCCUAGAACGGGACGCCAGAGAGGGUGAGAGCCCCGUACAGUUGGACACCAAGCCUUUGUAAAGCUCCUUCGACGAGUCGAGUAGUUUGGGAAUGCUGCUCAAAAUGGGAGGUAUAUUUCUUCUAAAGCUAAAUACCGGCCAGAGACCGAUAGCGCACAAGUAGAGUGAUCGAAAGAUGAAAAGCACUUUGAAAAGAGGGUUAAACAGCACGUGAAAUUGUUAAAAGGGAAGCGCUUGUGACCAGACUUGCGUCCGGUGAAUCACCCAGCUCUCGCGGCUGGGGCACUUCGCCGGCUCAGGCCAGCAUCAGCUCGCUGUCGGGGACAAAAGCUUCAGGAACGUAGCUCUCUUCGGGGAGUGUUAUAGCCUGUUGCACAAUACCCUUCGGCGGGCUGAGGUACGCGCUCCGCAAGGAUGCUGGCAUAAUGGUCAUCAGCGACCCGUCUUGAAACACGGACCAAGGAGUCAACCUUAUGUGCGAGUGUUCGGGUGUCAAACCCCUACGCGUAAUGAAAGUGAACGCAGGUGAGAGCUUCGGCGCAUCAUCGACCGAUCCUGAUGUUCUCGGAUGGAUUUGAGUAAGAGCAUAUAGGGUUGGACCCGAAAGAAGGUGAACUAUGCGUGUGUAGGGUGAAGCCAGAGGAAACUCUGGUGGAGGCUCGCAGCGGUUCUGACGUGCAAAUCGAUCGUCAAACAUGCGCAUGGGGGCGAAAGACUAAUCGAACCUCUAUAGCGGUCCGAACACACC